rnacentral:lncRNA from 1 species
CCACAAAUAUAAUUAUUCAUUAAUUUCAUUAAUAAUUCAUUUCUACUAUUAAGUCUAUUAUUUACGCUGUUUCUUUGAUUAUCUUCAAUCUCAAAGGAUCAUGGCUAUCGAAUACCUUGCUUGGGAUGUAUUGGUUCUUGAGGAAAGAUUACGUCGACUCGAACGUCGUGUGGAAAGAAGGCGACUGAGAGAUGCUCAGAAUCCUUUUCAGCUACCACGAGAAGAGUUUCUCAGCCUUUUUCGCCUGCCUCAAGAAGCUGUGAUGAAUCUUGGUUAACACCUCAGCAAAGCAGCAUAGGUGAUGCUGGAUAUCCGUUGGAGCCUUGGCUGUUAACACCUCUGGCCAAUUUUCCUGAAGAUACGCGACAACAUCAAUAUACACAACAACUAUGUAAGGCUAGAAGCGUCGUCGAGCGGUUUUUUGGAGUUUUUAAAUCUGUAUGGAGAUGCUUGUCAUACCAGCGAGUCUUGAUGUACGAACCAGCGUUCGCAGCGAAAAUUGUUAAUGCGUGUGCAGUACUGCACAACA